rnacentral:sRNA from 1 species
UAUCUCUCCGUACGGGGAAGGAUGAGAAGCUUCGACUAAGGUUCGAUUCGAGCGCAGCGAGAAAACGUUGCCGCAGGCAACGACCCGAAGGGUGAGGAGCGGAGCGACGA